AAGUCGUAACAAGGUAACCGUAGGUGAACCUGCGGUUGGAUCAUUAAAAAUGAAUAAAGAGUUUGACCAAAAAUUAGGCUCUUUUUUACAUUUGUGAACUGUUUAUUGUCUCUUGCCCAUUUUUAUUAAUGGGCAGCAACCUUUUGAUUGUAAAAUCAGAAAGUGUAAACCUAGUAUUGAAAAUUGACUUUGUUGAAUUAAUUAAAUUUAAAACAACUUUUGACAACGGAUCUCUAGGCUCUC
rnacentral:misc_RNA from 1 species